rnacentral:rRNA from 1 species
UUAAACUGAAGAGUUUGAUCAUGGCUCAGAUUGAACGCUGGCGGCAGGCUUAACACAUGCAAGUCGAGCGGGAAUA